CUUGGCUUAGCUGCUGAAGACUGACACUGCCCGAUCGCCCCAGAAGCCCCCUAGACCAUCACGGACGCCGAGCUUCGGGUAACUCUCACAGAGGAAGAGAAAACUUGGAGGUCACGUGUUGAAGAUGGUGGCAUCAAAGGAUGGCAAGAGGCUGAGUCUCUGAAUGUGUGGAGAACAACUUUGUACCCUCCCUCAAUGACCUACACUGAGAGAGAAAGAAAACUUUAUUGUGAUAAGCUGCCAUUAUGGGAAGGUUGUUCACUAUAGCAGCUAGCAUGACUUAUCCUAAUAUACUCAACCACUUAUAAUAGGGAGACAAUGAAAAAUCUGAAAUUGACAAAUCAAGAAAUAGAUGUUGAAGCAAAUCAUUUAGAAAUAUGUAUCCAUGUGUGUGUGUAUAUAUGUAUGUAUAGACACACACACACAUACACACAUAUGAAACACGUAAAAGAGUUCAAAGUGGCGCAUUGGAGAAGUGGAACCGGGAGAAUAGAGUGGGAUGAGGUAGUUGACUGCUUAAAUGUAUGAAUGAAUAAACUUUGGAAGGUCAUCCUUACUCACACUAACGAAUGUUUUUCUUUAUAAGCCUAAUGGCAACACUUAACUUUCAAUUAUAUGUUGCAUAAUUUAAAUAAAAAUAUAAAUUAUUGAUUUAAAAGAGACUUAUAGGCUUCUAGGAAAUGCAAAUAUGAGCAUAGAUAAUUACAGAACACAUAAUAUAAAUACCCAAAGUGAAGCAUGAUGUUGUAUUAUGAGUGCACCACAAAAGAAGUUCUUCAAACAGAUCAAACACAUUUGAGUACA
rnacentral:lncRNA from 1 species